UUGAUUUUUAAUUAUUUGUGGAGGUACUACUAAUUAACAACAAUUCUAUAAUCAAAACAAAAAAAAAUCA
rnacentral:misc_RNA from 1 species